GAGCGUCUUCUAGUUUCCAUGGGAACCUCGUCCCUGGAGUCCGGGCCGCGCAAGUCUGAGUUGGGGUAGGGUGUUGCUCCUGCGAAGGUGCACUGGAGCUAGGACCGGUCUGCAGACCAUUGAUGGGCAUAGUGGGGCGCUUGAGGGAGCGAGGCCAGUCCUGCCCUGCUUCACGGAACCAUCCCUCCCGUAUUCGUCCGGGCGUCCUGGCGUCCGCGGGCUCCUGGGGCCUCGGCGUUCUGAGGUGCAGGGGCUUGGGUCUGUCCGCGUCGGGCUUGGCUCGCGCCGGCGCAGCGCAACUGCCCCAGCGCCAGGGCUGGUCACCUCCUUCCGAGGGCCUGCGCGCCGACGGCAGGUACUCCUGAAGCGCGGGCCCGGGCGCGG
rnacentral:lncRNA from 1 species